rnacentral:ncRNA from 1 species
ACAGUACAAUCUGACAGGAGAUAGAUUUAAAAUCUAUUCCGGGCUGUAUACAGCAGCAGAUGAAUUUUGAAUUUUCAAAACAUCUGUGGGACAGAA